rnacentral:tRNA from 1 species
GAAAAGAAUUNGAAAUACAGAAACU